rnacentral:rRNA from 1 species
UACGGAGGGUGCUAGCGUUGUUCGGAAUCACUGGGCGUAAAGGGCGUGUAGGCGGUCUGUUAAGUCUGAUGUGAAAUCCCCUCGCUCAACGAGGGAACUGCGUCGGAUACUGGCAGACUCGAGUACCGGAGAGGAAGGUGGAAUUCCCGGUGUAGCGGUGAAAUUCGUAGAUAUCGGGAGGAACACCAGUGGCGAAGGCGGCGAUCUGGGAAGAUACUGACGCUGAGGUGCGAAAGCGUGGGGAGCAAACAGG